rnacentral:rRNA from 1 species
UACAGGCUUAACACAUGCAAGUCGAGGCGUUUCGGGAAGAAAGCUUGCUUUCUUUGCCGGCGACCGGCGCACGGGUGAGUAACACGUAUCCAACCUGCCCUUUACUCGGGGAUAGCCUUUCGAAAGAAAGAUUAAUACCCGAUAGUAUAAUGAUUCCGCAUGGUUUCAUUAUUAAAGGAUUCCGGUAAAGGAUGGGGAUGCGUUCCAUUAGGUUGUUGGUGAGGUAACGGCUCACCAAGCCUUCGAUGGAUAGGGGUUCUGAGAGGAAGGUCCCCCACAUUGGAACUGAGACACGGUCCAAACUCCUACGGGAGGCAGCAGUGAGGAAUAUUGGUCAAUGGGCGCUAGCCUGAACCAGCCAAGUAGCGUGAAGGAUGAAGGCUCUAUGGGUCGUAAACUUCUUUUAUAUAAGAAUAAAGUGCAGUAUGUAUACUGUUUUGUAUGUAUUAUAUGAAUAAGGAUCGGCUAACUCCGUGCCAGCAGCCGCGGUAAUACGGAGGAUCCGAGCGUUAUCCGGAUUUAUUGGGUUUAAAGGGAGCGUAGGUGGACUGGUAAGUCAGUUGUGAAAGUUUGCGGCUCAACCGUAAAAUUGCAGUUGAUACUGUCAGUCUUGAGUACAGUAGAGGUGGGCGGAAUUCGUGGUGUAGCGGUGAAAUGCUUAGAUAUCACGAAGAACUCCGAUUGCGAAGGCAGCUCACUGGACUGCAACUGACACUGAUGCUCGAAAGUGUGGGUAUCAAACAGGAUUAGAUACCCUGGUAGUCCACACAGUAAACGAUGAAUACUCGCUGUUUGCGAUAUACAGUAAGCGGCCAAGCGAAAGCAUUAAGUAUUCCACCUGGGGAGUACGCCGGCAACGGUGAAACUCAAAGGAAUUGACGGGGGCCCGCACAAGCGGAGGAACAUGUGGUUUAAUUCGAUGAUACGCGAGGAACCUUACCCGGGCUUAAAUUGCAGUGGAAUGAUGUGGAAACAUGUCAGUGAGCAAUCACCGCUGUGAAGGUGCUGCAUGGUUGUCGUCAGCUCGUGCCGUGAGGUGUCGGCUUAAGUGCCAUAACGAGCGCAACCCUUAUCUUCAGUUACUAACAGGUCAUGCUGAGGACUCUGGAGAGACUGCCGUCGUAAGAUGUGAGGAAGGUGGGGAUGACGUCAAAUCAGCACGGCCCUUACGUCCGGGGCUACACACGUGUUACAAUGGGGGGUACAGAAGGCAGCUAGCGGGUGACCGUAUGCUAAUCCCAAAAUCCUCUCUCAGUUCGGAUCGAAGUCUGCAACCCGACUUCGUGAAGCUGGAUUCGCUAGUAAUCGCGCAUCAGCCACGGCGCGGUGAAUACGUUCCCGGGCCUUGUACACACCGCCCGUCAAGCCAUGGGAGCCGGGGGUACAAGAAGUACGUAACCGCAAGGAUCGUCCUAGGGUAAAACUGGU